rnacentral:misc_RNA from 1 species
AGAUUUUCAGAUAUCAGUAUUGUGAACAUGAAGUUUGAAACAAAAGAAGUUAAAAGCACAUUCAAUAAGCUAAAAAGUAGAAAGCAUAACAGCACAACAUUAGGAAUAGCAGUAAUAUACAAGAAUUAGCUGUUAGCUGACUUGCUAAUGUCAAAAGUGAGUUUCUUAAGGGUUGUAAACACUGUUCUUGGAUUUAGCUAUAAUUCAGUAGUAUAAAUAGCAAACGCCAAGUUGCAAUCCAUAUGUGAUGGAAAUACAUACUGAGGGUGGAUUUUAAACCUUUUAAAAAUAUAGGCAUAUAAGAAUGGUAAACCCUGGCCAAAUUCUAAAUCAUGAGAGUGAAUUAUAGAACACGUUUCACAAAUUUACUGUGAGGAUUAUAACAGGCUUUAGCAUCACCUAUUACCUGCUU